AGGAAUAUUGGUCAAUGGACGAAAGUCUGAACCAGCCAUGCCGCGUGCAGGAAGAAUGCCCUAUGGGUUGUAAACUGCUUUUAUUUGGGAAGAAACCUUCUUACGUGUAAGAAGCUGACGGUACCAAACGAAUAAGCACCGGCUAACUCCGUGCCAGCAGCCGCGGUAAUACGGAGGGUGCAAGCGUUAUCCGGAAUCAUUGGGUUUAAAGGGUCCGCAGGCGGGCAUAUAAGUCAGUGGUGAAAUCUCUCGGCUCAACCGAGANACUGCCAUUGAUACUGUAUGUCUUGAAUUCGGUCGAAGUAGGCGGAAUGAGUAGUGUAGCGGUGAAAUGCAUAGAUAUNACUCAGAACACCGAUAGCGAAGGCAGCUUACUAGGCCUGGAUUGACGCUGAGGACGAAAGCGUGGGAGCGAACAGGAUUAGAUACCCUGGUAGUCCACGCCGUAAACGAUGAUUACUCGAUAUCAGCGAUAUACUGU
rnacentral:rRNA from 1 species